UGGACAGUCUUUGAACUCCAUAGUUGGAACUAACAAUUGGGGAAGCGUCCCAACCAAAAGAAAAAACAAUGGACGAAGCGAAGGGAUUAAUGAGGCGUGUGUUGCUAAUCAAGUUCAAAGCGGAAACCGCACCUGACCACGUCGAGCGACUCAUCAAGGAUUACUCCAAUCUCGUCAACCUCAUCGAAUCCUUGAAAACUUGGCACAUGGGAAAGGAUGUGAGUAUCGACAACUUGCAUGAAGGCUUCACACAUGUCUUCGAGCUAACGUUUGAGGACGCCGAGGGAGCAGCAGCGUACGUGGUUCAUCCUGCUCACCUCGAAUUCCAUGAGCGGAUCGCGCCCCAUGUGGAGAAGACAGCCAUGAUCGACUACAAGCCAACUUCUUUCCAUACCUAAAUUUAAUAUUGCAUUGCAAGCUCUAUCAUAAUUGUGUGGAUGAAUAAUAAACUUGUUAUGGCAGCAUUAUCUUGUGUAAGGUGAUUAACAUGGUUUAUGUUAAAUUAAUGUCUCAAGUUUGAAUUUGAAUAACUAUUUGUUAAAUCGAAUUUGUCGAGAAAGAUUUCCCAAAGCGGAUUAAAAAUCGGACCAGGAAGCUUUUCUUUCUUGAACUUAUUAUGACAUUGCAUAAGAAAGCAAGGAAGACAUCACCCACCACUACAAGACAAAAAAAGGCUCACAUAUUUUGUUAUAUCUAUUUAACUUCUAGGGAUAGAGACGUCCUUUUUCAAGUGAAGUUAUCCUUCCGUGGGUCCCUCUCUUUAUAUAUAUAGCCAAGAAACCUAAGGAGGAACUGCUAAAGCCAAUAAGAGAUGCACAAAGCCAGAAGUUGACAAGAAGCAAAUUGCCGUAUGAAGAAAGGAAAAAUUCAAGAACGCCGCGCGUUCUUAAUUUUCAGUCGUAUGAGAAGAGUAAUACUUGGGUUUGAAUGAGGGGUGAUUUGUCUAGUAAAUUUACAUUUAAAUUAUAUUUUUAUUUGUAAA